CCUACGGGUGGCUGCAGUGGGGAAUAUUGGACAAUGGGGGCAACCCUGAUCCAGCCAUGCCGCGUGUGUGAAGAAGGCCCUCGGGUUGUAAAGCACUUUCAGUGAGGAAGAACGCCUGGUGGUUAAUACCCAUCAGGAAAGACAUCACUCACAGAAGAAGCACCGGCUAACUCCGUGCCAGCAGCCGCGGUAAUACGGAGGGUGCGAGCGUUAAUCGGAAUUACUGGGCGUAAAGCGCGCGUAGGUGGCUUGAUAAGCCGGUUGUGAAAGCCCCGGGCUCAAUCUGGGAACGGCAUCCGGAACUGUCAAGCUAGAGUGCAGGAGAGGAAGGUAGAAUUCCCGGUGUAGCGGUGAAAUGCGUAGAGAUCGGGAGGAAUACCAGUGGCGAAGGCGGCCUUCUGGACUGACACUGACACUGAGGUGCGAAAGCGUGGGUAGCAAACAGGAUUAGAUACCCUUGUAGUC
rnacentral:rRNA from 1 species